AUACGUAGGUGACAAGCGUUAUCCGGAUUUACUGGGCGUAAAGGGCGUGUAGGCGGUCUUGCAAGUCAGAAGUGAAAUUCCUGAGCUCAACUCGGGCGCUGCUUCUGAAACUGCAGGACUUGAGUGCUGGAGGGGAUAGCGGAAUUCCUAGUGGAGCGGUAAAAUGCGCAGAUAUUAGGAAGAACACCGGUGGCGAAGGCGGCUAUCUGGACAGUAACUGACGCUGAGGCGCGAAAGCGUGGGGAGCAAACAGGAUUAGAUACCCUGGUAGUCCACGCAGUAAACGAUGAUGACUAACUGCCGGCCCGUUGCGGGUCGGUGGCCAAGCGAAAGCGAUAAGUCAUCCACCUGGGGAGUACGACCGCAAGGUUGAAACUUAAAGGAAUUGACGGGG
rnacentral:rRNA from 1 species